AUAGUACUGUGAAGGAACGGUGAAAAGAACCCCGGGAGGGGAGUGAAAAAGAACCUGAAACCCUAUGCUUACAAGCACCGAGAGCACGUCAAAGUGUGAUCGGGUACCUUUUGUAGAAUGGUCCGGCGAGUUAUUGUAUGCGGCAAGGUUAAGUGCUUAAGGCACGGAGCCGAAGCGAGAGCAAGUCUGAAUAGGGCGAAAAAGUCGUAUGCAAUAGACCCGAAACCGAGUGACCUAUCCAUGUCCAGGCUGAAGUGGAGGUAAAACUCCAUGGAGGGCCGAACACACGUCCGUUGAAAAGGCCGGUGAUGAGGUGUGGAUAGCGGAGAAAUUCCAAUCGAACUCGGAUAUAGCUGGUUCUCUCCGAAAUAGCUUUAGGGCUAGCCUCGUGAAAGAUUACUGGAGGUAAAGCACUGAAUGGGCUAGGGGUCGAAAGAUUACUGAACCCUAUCAAACUAAGAAUGCCAGAUAAUUGAUUCACGGGAGUCAGACAAUGUGAGAUAAGUCUCAUUGUCAAAAGGGAAACAGCCCAGACCCACAGCUAAGGUCCCUAAACAUUGUUAAGUGGAAAAGGAUGUGGGGUUGCAUAAACAACCAGGAUGUUGGCUUAGAAGCAGCCACUCAUUAAAAGAGUGCGUAAUAGCUCACUGGUCGAGUGACCCUGCGCCGAAAAUUCAACGGGGCUAAACAAUGUACCGAAGCUUGGGAUUCUAAAGUAAUUUAGAGUGGUAGGAGAGCGUCGAAUAAGGGGUGAAGUCAGAGCGGAAGCGCUGGUGGACUUUAUUCGAGUGAGAAUGCCGGAAUGAGUAGCGAGAAUUAUGUGAGAAUCAUAAUGGCCGAAAAUCUAAGGUUUCCUGAGGAAGGUUCGUCCGCUCAGGGUAAGCCGGGGGCUAAGGCGAGGCGGAGACGCGUAGCCGAUGCACAUACGGUUGAAAUUCCGUAGCCACCGAAAGAUUUAAGUACAGGGACGCUUUAGAAGUGAUGUUGCCGGGCGAUGGUUGACCCGGUCGUAAGGGAUCGAAAAUGAGUAGAGAAGUCAUCAUGGAAAGAGACAAGAAAAGCUGUAUGAAUAUCUUAGGUGCCCGUACCGCAAACCGACACAGGUAGAUAGGAAGAAGAUUCUAAGGCCAACGGGAGAAGGGUUGUUAAGGAACUCGGCAAGUUGACCCCGUAACUUAGGGAUAAGGGGUGCUCAAGUGAUUGAGCCGCAGAGAAUAGGCCCAGGCGACUGUUUAGCAAAAACACAGGUCUCUGCUAAAUCGAAAGAUGACGUAUAGGGGCUGACACCUGCCCGGUGCCGGAAGGUUAAGAGGAGAUGUGAGAGCAUUGAAUUGAAGCCCCGGUAAACGGCGGCCGUAACUAUAACGGUCCUAAGGUAGCGAAAUUCCUUGUCAGGUAAGUUCUGACCCGCACGAAAGGCGUAAUGAUUUGGGCACUGUCUCAACAGCCCGCCCGGCGAAAUUGUAGUACCGGUGAAGAUGCCGGUUACCCGCGACAAGACG
rnacentral:rRNA from 1 species